rnacentral:tRNA from 2 species
GCCCGUGUAGCUCACCCGGUAGAGCACCUGUCUUGUAAACAGGAGGUAGCGAGUUCGAGUCUCGCCGCGGGCUCCA